GUCUCAAGCUUUGAAAUUUUAUGGAGCAUGCUGGCUAAUGCACAUUCCAUAUUUCAGGGUGUCUGGCUCCCCUUGCUCUGGGUAAGGAUGUGACGUGGAAUAUAUGGGCAUGUUUUCUUACAAGCACUGCUGAGCUGAUAAACAAGACCAUGGUGCUGGGGAAGUACCAGAGAGGAAAUCCCAUGAAGGAAUAAAUUACAGUGACACCUACUAGUGUUGGUACAGCUAAAGUUGCCAUUAUGCUCAAAUAUGCCACCAUAAUAAUCUUCUAUGCAACGUGUGGCCAUUGGACUUGGAGGUGAUGUACAAAACUUUGGAGGCUAUUCCUGUUGUCUUCUUGGAAAUGAAAGGAACCACUAAAAUAAAACCCCCUUCCUCUGCUCUGUCAGCCCCACGGAGGUUCCUUGACUCAUGAGUUUGGCCUAUGAGACAGGACAUCCUGUGUGAUUUCAGCAAGUCCAUAUGGUUCUCCAGAGCUUUUCCCAAGAGAAAAAGUAACUAGGUGGAUUGUUUGGAUCCACCAGAGCUCCAACACAGAAGAGAGGGACAAAUAUUAUCCUCAUUGCUGCCAGCACCACCACCUGCAGGGGUUAUUGCCAGAAUCUGAGAUACAGGCAUGAGGACUUCAUGUCACUGUUACUGUCCAGUGAGUCUGAUCAAGUAAAGGAAGCGUAUCUGUUCCUGAGAGAUGUGUAGGUCAGUCCCAGAGACUUUUUGCUGGAGACUAGGAAAGUGUGGCUUUAACCCAGCUUCAGACAGCAUCCCACACUGUGAAUUGGAAAGUCCUCUUGGCUUUGGAAUGAAGGCACAGGAAACUUUGUGGACCUGUGGAUGAAAAAUUCUGCAUCAGUGUUUCCUGUGAGACAAAUCUUGGUUAUGUGCUCAGACCAGAAAAUACCACAUCACGUGCUGGCAUUCUGUAAGUGAUGGAAUUUUUCCUGUCCACAUUUUCCUGUCCACAGUAUUUCUGUUCAUGAUAAACUGUUGAAGCAAGUUCCACAGAAGCAGCU